rnacentral:rRNA from 1 species
ACCGGCAGCUCAAGUGGUGGCCAUUAUUAUUGGGCCUAAAGCGUUCGUAGCCGGUUUGAUAAGUCUCUGGUGAAAUCCCGCAGCUUAACUUUUUUCGUUGCUGGAGAUACUAUCAGACUUGAGGUCGGGAGAGGUUAGGGGUACUCCCAGGGUAGGGGUGAAAUCCUAUAAUCCUGGGAGGACCACCUGUGGCGAAGGCGCCUAACUGGAACGAACCUGACGGUGAGUAACGAAAGCCAGGGGCGCGAACCG